rnacentral:lncRNA from 1 species
AAAAAACAAAAAAACAGGUAAAACAACCACUGUCCUGCUUUUUUUUUUUUUUUCUCGUAGUUUCUGCCACCCCCCAAAGCCAUCUAGUGAGAGGUGCUGCCAGCUUUGAAGGUUCCCUGCUCUCCCUGGUCCUCUGGUUCUCUUCAGACUCAUCUCGAGAGGAUGGACUGUCCCAGUGGGUCUCCGGGGCCUCCUUGUCCCUGGUUUAAUCCAGGAGCACCCGCC